UGGUAAACUGUUUUCUUUACGUAUUCGUUGGAGCAUUUUUACAAACAAAAUGUAUAAAUGCACUAUCGGAUAUGACAUAGAUACAGUUUAA
rnacentral:pre_miRNA from 1 species